GAUAGCUAGUUGAUAGCUACCAACACAAAUAUUGCUGGCCCCUAGUAUAUAUUGUAUUGUCAUACGUUGUGCAAUAGUAAGUUAAAGUCUCUUUUGUACUAGGUAAAAAUAAAAAAUACCAAAAUGUUUCAACAAAAUAACAGCAACAUAACAUAAUAAUAUAUAUUCCGAAGUAGUGUUCUUUACAUUAUGUAAUUGUUUUGCACACUAAAGAAAUAAUAAAGACUGUAUUAAGAUUGAGAAAUAAAAACACAAAAGCUCAACCAUUUGAAGGAUUUAUACUGCAUAUUCAAUUCCCUGGAGACAUAGAAAAAUGAAUAAGAAAACAUAACUUUGAUGCGAAAAUAAAUUCUGCAAGCAGCAGCGUACAUUAUAGAUAUUUGUAUUAGGAUGGAGAAGGAAAAACUUCCAAGAAGGGAAAAACAAACUAUAUAAGAUUAUCAGCAAUCAAAUGCUAUCACUACACCACUGGCUGCCCUUUAGUGGUUGUUUUUAACUGCCGCUGAAUGGUUUGAUUGCGGCGGUUUCAACAACUGUUUAGGUGGUGUAGCUAGAUCAAACAUUUUAUCAGCAAUUCAAAGGCCAUCUCCCGCUAAAUCCAAAACAUAGGAAUUAAAAUAUAAUAAUAUAAGAUGCAGUUUAUCUCUUUGGCACAAUUAGAUGACAUAAGGCUCGCAGUUGAGGCCUAGAUCAAAUGGUAAACUUAGUUGCCUCUUAAGAACUAUACCACGUUGAAAUCCUAGUUAGAACUGGGAUUAAGUAUAAGGACCUUGUGGAUGUGUGAGUCGUGUAAUGACAAAAAACAAAAGAUGAGGUAAGGCCCAAAAUCCGGGCCACUUGCUCCCGCCGCCUUCCAACAACCUUGCUGCCGUGUUGACGUGUGCCUCUCUUUGGUCAUGUUGCCCAGCUCUUCUUGAUGUCACCUUUUGGUCUGCUUCCUCAUCCCUCGCGCCUUUUCUCUUUUUAUGAUAGUAGCUACAUGAUCAAGAAAAUGAUCUUGAUAAGGAUAGACAAAGUCUAGAAGAAUUGUACACUUUUGAAGUUUUGAUACAAGAACUAAUAAAGGACAACACCGACGUAGAAUGCAAAGUUACUCCACAUGCAAAUGUUACAAUAGAACCACUAAAAUGCAUUAUUUCAACUGAAAGAAGGCAAACUCGAACAAAAGAAAAAACUAUAGUGGAGGGAAAAGAAUUUUAGAUAUUUAAAGUGUUCUGUUUAGUUAAGUCCAGUUUAAUUUCAAUUAACUUAAUUUUCUAUCACUUAUUUAACGUAGAUAUGUUUGUAUAUGUAAGUCAUAGUUCCCAAGUGAAGUCAUUGUAUAUACUUAUUUUGUAUAUAAUAGAUUUUGAAAUUGUCUCCCUUGCAUAAUCUAUUUUGAGAUUAAUA